AUUGGGUAUGGUGAUAUGGUCCCAAAGACCAGUGUCGGCAUGAUAAUAGGCUGCCUGUGCGCUUUGACUGGCGUGCUUACGCUUGCUUUGCCCAUGCCCGUUAUCGUUAGCAAC
rfam:Trichuris muris Edinburgh genomic scaffold, scaffold19